AAAGGAUUAUGUCACUGGAAGUAGUACAGUAUGUGAGUGAUGCUGCGUUUUGCAGUGCUGCUACAUACAGCGCUCCUCUCACUGACCACCAAUGAAAGAGGUGCCCCUUCUGGAAUUGUGGUGUGGGCAUGAUACAUGACCUCAGGGGACCUGCAUGUGGCCUGAGGGCCAUAGUUUGGGGACCCCUGGUCUAGGUUGAGCUGUUGACCAAUGGAGUCAUGCUGACUAGACCAAAAGGAUUAGGGCAAUCUGAGAGCAGUGAUUGCCUUCUGAGAAGGAUGAUGGAGACCACUGAAAACAUCACAGAGAGGGCAGGAAGAAGAAGUGGAAUAUUCAGAAUGAACUUUGCUAACUUCAUGGCUUUUCUGAGGUCUAAAUCUUUGUGGGGAAGAGAUACUUGGAUAUAAUUCCCAUCUCACUGAAGUUACCCAGUUCCUGGAUACCUCUUGUUUUACUAUUAAUGGCUUUAAAAUAUUUUUAUUAUUACCUUAAUAAUGGUCUCAGCCAAUAGCAACAUAUGAAUAAAACAGUAGAAUGAAUAAUAAAAUCC
rnacentral:lncRNA from 1 species